GUUUGAGGAGCGGCGCGGGAUAGGCCAGGGCAAAGUCUGGGGCGGCUGGGUCGGUGGCGGGAUUCCUGUCAGCUUUUGUUUGGUUCCUAAACGGUAGACACUGGUUAUAGUUCCUCAUUUACUUCUCCGAAGUUAAGAGGCAGCCCGCUUCUUCCUAGCUCUUUUUUCCCCUUUAGAGACAGGGUCUCGCUCUGUCACCCAGACUGAGUGCAGUGGCAGUCUCGGCUCACUGUAGCUUGCGCCUCCCGGGCUCAGGCGAUCCUCCCUUCUCGGCCUCCCCGGUAGCUGGGACCGCAGGCGCGCGCCUCCGCGCCCCGCUUUUUGGUUUUGGGUAGGAACGGGGGUUUUUCUGUGUUGCCUCAGCUGGCUUAGCUCCUCACUGUGGCGGUCUCCGCCUUCCAGAAGUAAAGGCGUGUGGGGGCUGCGCUCUGAGGGCCGCGUGCGGCUGCCGAGCGCCCCCGGGCGGGGGUAUGCGCCGCUGUGUGGAAAAUGUUCUUGCACAGCGGGUUCGUCUGACUUGGUGUCCCCAUGCCGCGAGGUGCACCCGCGUCGUCCCUUCUCCGGGGUUCUGCUCACCAGAGGCGGCUCUCCCCUGCCCCGGCGGGUACAGAACCGACCCGUCCUGUGGCGUGGGCUUCGCCCUGUGAGAGAUGACAGCGUGCUGGCAGCCCUCGCUCGCUCUCGGCGCCCACUCUGGCCGCGCUCGAGGGGCCCUUCAGCCCGCCGCUGCACUGUGGGAGCCCCUCUCUGGGCUGGCCGCGGCCGGAGCCGGCUCCCUCAGCUUGCAGGGAGGUGUGGAGGGAGAGGUGCGGGCGGGAACCCGGGCUGCACGUGGCGCUUGCGGGUCAGCGUGAGUUCCGGGUGGGCGUGGGCUCGGCGGGCCCCGCAAUCGGAGCCACCGGCCCCAGGCAGUGAGGAGCUUAGCACCCGGGCCAGCAGCUGCGGAGGAUGCGCCGGGUCCCCCACCAGUGCCGGCCCGCCGGCGCUGCGCUCGAAUUCUCACCGGGCCUCAGCUGCCUCCCCGCGAGGCAGGGCUCAGGACCUGCAGCCCGCCAUGCCUGAGUCUCCCCCCUGCCGUGGGCUCUUGCGCGGCCCCCUGCUCCGCGGCACCCGGUCCCAUCGACCGCCCAAGGGCUGAGGAGUGCGGGCGCACGGCGCGGGACUGGCGGGCAGCUCCACCUGCAGCCCCGGUGUGGGAUCCACUAGGUGAAGCCAGCUGGGCUCCUGAGUCUAGCGGCGACUUGGAGAACCUUUAUGUCAAGCUAAGGGAUUGUAAAUACACCAAUCAGCACUGUGUUUAGCUCAAGAGACCACUCUGACCCCAUCUACACUGGGGCUGUGUUAUUGAUGAAAAGUGGAGAGAGCCCCUUACUAUAACCACUCAGACCCUCCAAACAUCUGCUACUGAGAAGAAGGGGGUGGAGACCCGAAUGAUUGACCUGCCUGUCUGCACUAACCCACCGCUCAGACGCCAGAGCCUCUUGUCUCUGGUUCACGUGGAAGUGAGUGAGUUGGUGCUGGGGGAGAAGUAUUUCCCCUCUGCGUUGGUGUCUUUUUACCCUGUGAAACGCCUGCCUUCCAUCCCGAGAGGAAAGAAAACGAUGACAACUUGUGUUCUGGUGGAAGAUUUAGCAGCUACUACAAAACAGAGGUUUGAAAACCUAUUUUGCAGCUCUCAAAUUUCAAUUUAGAUGACUUGACUUUGAGGGCCCAGUGUAGAUGUGAGGGCUGAGUAGAGAAAGCCCGCAGCCCCCUCUCCCCAGGAGCUUACCCCUGCCUCGGGGCUCCCUUUUUGUCUCUCUUGCUGUGUUAUGAAAGGAGAGCAUCUGGGAAUACUCAAAGGCUGGCUUCUGCCUGUGUGUCCCACCCCAUCUCAAGGUGGCUAGUGCUGCUGAGGGACUCCGGCCUGAGGAAGGAAGCGCCCGUGGCCUGGGGCAGAGCCGUGCAGUUGCAUGGCUUUCCUGCCGCUCAAGUCACUGAGGGCUGUUCUUGGUACUGUCUAGAAAAGUUGCUUGCAUCCCUGGAGUCACAGGAAUCUCAUAACCCAGCCUAUGCCCCCAGGCCCCUGCCGUGUCAGUAGAGCCUGCUGAACUUCCUGGGCUAGCGAGACCAGCUGACAGCCACAGUGCUCAAAAGUCAGGGUCUAACCCCGCCAGACUGGCGUCUCUGUAGGAUUCCCUGUCUUUGAAAGGAUACUGGAAGGGCAGUUGUUUUUCUAAACUUACUCCGAACUCUGAGCCACUGCACCUGGCCUUAAUAUCAUUUUAAAAACUAAACACGCUGGCGCGGUGCCUCCCACCUGUAAUCCCAGCACUUCGGGAGGCCAAGGUGGGUGAAUCAUGAGGUCAGGCGUUUGAGACCAGCCUGGGCAGCAUGGUGAAACCCCAUCCCUAUUAAAAAUACAAAAAUUAGCUGGGCGUCGUGGCGGGCCCCUGUAAUACCAGCUACUCAGGAGGCCGAGGCAGGAGAAUCGCUUGAACCUGGGAGGCAGAGGUUAUGGUGAGCAGAGAUCGCGCCACUGCACUCCAGCCUGGGUGAUAGAGCAAGACUCUGUCUCAAAACAAACCAUAUUUAAUUGACUUGGUCUCUUAUAUGGGCUUGUUCUAUUUAAUUUUCUGAGUAAACACAAGGCUUGGCUUUGUUACCCAAAAAACAUGGGCAGCUCUUAGGAAGCUACAUCCUCCAGACUCCUGUCACAGUGAAUUGUUGUCUUUCAGUGUUUAAAAGCAAUAAAGACAAAGUCAAAUCAAACAUGUAACAACUGCUCCCAUUCAGUGGCCAUUGGAGAUGUUUAUUAC
rnacentral:lncRNA from 10 species